rnacentral:rRNA from 1 species
UACGUAGGGGUCGAGCGUUGUCCGGAGUUACUGGGCGUAAAGCGUGCGCAGGUGGCUCAUUGCGCCCGGCGUGAAAGCCCCCGGCUCAACCGGGGAGGGUCGUCGGAGACGGGUGAGCUUGAGGGUAUCAGGGGCUGGUGGAACUCCCGGUGUAGUGGUGAAAUGCGUAGAGAUCGGGAAGAACACCCGUGGCGAAGGCGGCCAGCUGGGAUACACCUGACACUGAGGCACGAAGGCGUGGGGAGCGAACGGG